UAUCGCGGUAUUAUACUACAAAAAGAGUUCAAUAACGGAAUUAAAUUUCUGAAUUCACGAGUAAUGUCAUGUAGAAUGAAAACAGCUAUAUGUAUCCCUAAUAUGACCAGUUAUACUAUAUGGAUUUGAAACUUAGCCUCUUAGAAUAAAGGAUGAAAAUAACUUCACUUUUUUUGAAAGAAAAUUUUUGCGGAGUAUUAGGACGACGUUAUAAAAAAGAUGUCGAACGUUUGGAAAAAGGGUCUAACUGGGGAAAUCUAGCGCU